GACAGAGCCUCGAGCGUUAGGCGGAAUCACUGGGCUUAAAGCGUGUGUAGGCGGACGCCUAAGUACCUUGUGAAAUCCCACGGCUCACCCGUGGAACCGCUGGGUAUACUGGGCGUCUUGGGCCAUUCAGGGGCAACUGGAACAAGCGGUGGAGCGGUGAAAUGCGUAGAUAAUCGCUUGGAACGCCGGACGGUGAAAACAGGUUGCUGGGAAUGUGC
rnacentral:rRNA from 1 species